ensembl:lncRNA
GAGAGCAUGAGGGUGGGAAUGGAUGUUUGUGUCUGUGUGUGCCUGUAUGUCUGUGUCUAUAUGUCAGGUUGGGUAUCAGACGCCACCUCUCUGGGGACAUCUCAGGCCCUCCAAGGUUUGGAGGCCUAUCUCCACCCACCACCACUUCCCCUGCCAGUGGCGGACUCCCUCAGGUGUCGGUGCGUUGGUGGUUCUUUGUGUCUGGGGGUGGGCGUCCGGGUACACACCGGCUCACUCCUUGGCGGCCGCUUAUCGGGGCCUGGAGCCUGGGGCUCAUUCGGGCCACUUCGGAGGUGGGGUGCCCCCGGCCUCUCGGCCUGGGGCUCGGUCACUCAGGCACAGCUGGCUGCCGGCGGAGCUCACGGGCGCGUCACUGCAACUCCCCCUGGCUUCUGCUCCGCGGCUGCUGAGUGAGCCCUCAUCUGGGACUCUCCUCAGCUCUUACUGGGACAGUGGCGCGGCUGCCCCUCUGUUGGUCUUCCUUGGUCUCUUGUGUUCUGGGGGCCUCUGGAUGUCUGGAGUUUUGAUCUCCUCCAUACCUGCUUCAUACCCUGGAGGACAGGGCUGGGGCUCCCCCACACUCCCUAGCAGAUCGUUACAUGGAGAAACCUUUGGAAUGCAAGCAUGCUGAUCCACACAGGUAUGCACACAGGUAUACACACGGGUAUUCACAGACGCGGACUACAGCUUUCUUGACUGCUGCCUCAAAGCACAUUGUGCGCUGUCUAUCUUGCGUGCUGCACAAUAUCGUUUAUUAUUUAGUAUCUACUGAUAUCUACUGCUAGCUAGUUUAUUGUGAUGGUGCUGUUUUUUUUAUUAUGUUGCUCUUUGUUGUUUGCUUUCUCUUCUGUUUUUUUUUCUCCAUACAGGUGACCCAGGUGUUUUGUUUUGUUUUGUUUGUUUUGUUUUUUUUCUUUCUUCCCCCCCUUCUCACCGUCUCUUCUCCCCUUUGGUUUUCUUUCUCUCCCUCUCUUUCUUUCAUUCUUUCUCCCUGUCCUAUCACCCAGUCAUGUCUGUCCCGUUUGUAGCAACUGAAAAUAAAAUUAAUUCAUAAUUAUAAUAAAGGUCAAUCAAAUGGACCAAUAUGGCAAGGCCAUGAUGAUCCACUUGGUAAAAUAAAUCCGCUUGGCAUCUUUCUUGGCCUUAAGACAACAAUUCUGAUGGCUAAAGAUCCAAACGGGACACACACAAAAAAAAAAGAAAAAAGGAAACACUUACCGCAAGUCGAGCUGCCCGAGAUUCACAGAAUUUACAGAAAAUGUUAAAUUUUUAUGAUUUAUAUCGUUAUCGAGACGAUAGAAUUCUUAUAUAGGGAUAUGAGAUUUUGGUCUUAUCGCACAGCCCUAAGUGCAAGCGAAAGUGGCCAUCAUUAGACUGAAAAAAGUAAAUAAAUAAGUACC